AUUUAACCAAGGAUGACGAGGGAUGAACAAGGAUGCAGAGCGCUGAAGAGAAUUCCUCUGUGUGAAAUCGAAAAAAUCUACGUACAGCUAUCGGAACACAAAACAGAGAAUAUUGGAGAAAAGUAAUAUAAAGACUGAGGCCAUCAUCAGCGAAACUGCCAUUAUUUUUCAAAAAAGUUUCUAAAUCGCUCCCCAUCAGUCGAUCUAGAUCG